ensembl:lncRNA
CUGUGCGACCCCAUAGAUGGCAGCACACCAGGCUACCCCGUCCCUGGGAUUCUCCAGGCAAGAACACUGGAGUGGGUUGCCAUUUCCUUCUCCAAUGCGUGAAAAGUAAAAGUGAAGUCGCUCAGUUGUGUCCGACUCUUCACGACCCCAUGGACUGCAGCCUACCAGGCUCCUCUGCCCAUGGGAUUUCCCAGGCAAGAGUACUGGAGUGGGGUGCCAUUGCCUUCUCCGGCUGGGAGAGCUGACUUUGGUCAAAACCCCCACCCUUUGCCGGGUUCGCCAGUUUCCCCAGGAUCCUGGCUGCAGGCCCUGGAGCUGGUAGGGUGUCCCAGCAGGUCUCAUCCAGGUCCCCAGAGACUGUAGAGAAGGAAAGAUAAUGUUCCCUCUAUCCUUUCUGGUGAGUGCUUGUCUGAGACCCUUUUUCUCUAGGGCACCUCCUGAGUGGUGGUGAAAAGCCCUCUAUUAAUGGCCUCAGUAGUUCAGGUUAUCUUUGUGAGUUGAGUCUGCCUGUUGAGCCUAAUAACAAAACUUGAUUCACCUGUGGUGCCAGGCAGAGCCCGGUCCAGCUUACGGCAGUCCCCAUCCACCCCAGACCCAGGCUGGCUUCUGUGCCAGAUCCAGCCGGACUCCAGCCAGUUUCAGGACCCAGCACAGACAAAGGAAUGCUCAGUUGAAGUCUGAAAGCUCAGACUAGGUUCCGGGGGGACUCACUCAUGACCUCCGGAGCCGGCAAGAAACUGUGAGCUUGGGGCACAGCAGGUACUUGCAUUUGCUUGCUCUUUGCUGUUGUGUGUGGGGGUGGGGUGGGGUUUAUUUCACUCUCUCUUCUGAUGCUGGCACUGUUAAAGGAUAAACUGAGUCAUAUUUAUUUAUUUGAGCAGAAAUCAAUUUGAAUCAUGUAGUAGCCAAUGUAGAAAGUAGCAGCUUGAAGGAGCUGUACAAAAUGAAAGAUUUUGACAGGCGGAAGGGAAUGCAAACAAGGUGGUUACACCAGCAUCACCGUCCCCCCCCCCCCCCAAAAAAAAAAAGGCAGAUUGGUUGGUUGAAGAUUACUUUCCUUUAGGGCAACAGGGACUGUUUUUGUGCAAGACAAUCUUUCCACGGACUGGGGGUGGGGUUUCGGGAUGAGUCAAGCGCAUUAUAUUUACUGUGCAGUUUAUUUCUAAUCUAAUGCCACCACUGAUCUGGCAGGAGAUACCAGUCAGCGACUCACAGCUUGGAGACCCCUGCUUUAGGGGAGGACAGAGGGCUUCGUGAGCAGAUUAUCUAACUAGUACUGAUCAGAUGGUUCCUGAUUGACUGGCUUACCUUUCCAUAUCUGGAAGAACCAAAACUAUUCUUAAAUGGAGACAUCACAGUUGUUUUUAAAAUAAAGGAAGCUCACUUAUUUAAAACUCACCACACGCUACCAUUUGCCAGAAGACCCAGGCAGCUGACUUGGUGAGAGAGUGUAAAUUCCAUGAGAAUAGAUUUAUUUUCUACUACAGUUCCAGUUCUUCGAGCAGUGUCUGGCUCACAGUAAGCAAUUACUGUACACAUUUGUUAUAUCAGAGAAUGAAGACGAAGAACAUGAAGACAACCUUACUUGUGCAAGAGCUUGG